rnacentral:tRNA from 1 species
GACACUAUGGCCGAGUGGUUAAGGCGACAGAUUCGAAUUCCGCGAAUAUCUGUUUCCCUCUGGGAGCGCAGGUUCAAAUCCUGCUGGUGUCG